rnacentral:sRNA from 1 species
UUGUUCCUUGGCUAAGAGGGCAGUCGUCGCGGACCCACGCGGUUAGCAGGGCUUAGUGCUCGGGCCGGCCGCCUUCACUUCCCUCCCGGCUUUUCCUCCCGACUUAUCCACUUUAGGGGCGUCUCGGAGUGCCGGAGUCCCCCGGGGAAGAGCGGGGUGCCGGUGUCCGCUCCGGGCUCGGAUGGGAAGUGGCGGGAGGAGCGACCCGGGAUGUUCAGUCUGAUGGCCAGUUGCUGCGGCUGGUUCAAGCGGUGGCGGGAGCCUGUCAGGUGACUCUUUUGAUGGUGGGACUUGAUAAUGCUGGUAAAACCGCAACAGCAAAGGGAAUCCAAGGAGGUUGGCAAAUAAACAAGAUAAAGAAGGAGCUUUAGGAGAAGCUGAUGUCAUUGAAUGUCUAUCUCUGGAAAAAUUGGUCAAUGAGCACAAGUGCCUGUGUCAGAUAGAACCAUGUUCAGCAAUCUCGGGGUAUGGAAAGAAAAUUGACAAGUCCAUUAAAAAAGGCCUUUAUUGGCUGCUACAUGUUAUUGCAAGAGACUUUGAUGCCUUAAAUGAACGCAUCCAAAAAGAGACAACAGAGCAGCGUGCUCUUGAGGAACAAGAGAAACAAGAAAGAGCUGAACGAGUGCGAAAAUUACGAGAAGAAAGAAAACAAAAUGAACAGGAGCAGGCUGAACUCGAUGG